rnacentral:rRNA from 1 species
GACGAACGCUGGCGGCGUGCUUAACACAUGCAAGUCGAACGGAAAGGCCCUGCUUUUGUGGGGUGCUCGAGUGGCGAACGGGUGAGUAACACGUGAGUAACCUGCCCUUGACUUUGGGAUAACUUCAGGAAACUGGGGCUAAUACCGGAUAGGAGCUCCUGCUGCAUGGUGGGGGUUGGAAAGUUUCGGCGGUUGGGGAUGGACUCGCGGCUUAUCAGCUUGUUGGUGGGGUAGUGGCUUACCAAGGCUUUGACGGGUAGCCGGCCUGAGAGGGUGACCGGCCACAGUGGGACUGAGAUACGGCCCAGACUCCUACGGGAGGCAGCAGUGGGGAAUAGUGCACAAUGGGCGGAAGCCUGAUGCAGCAACGCCGCGUGCGGGAUGACGGCCUUCAGGUUGUAAACCGCUUUCGCCUGUGACGAAGCGUGAGUGACGGUAAUGGGUAAAGAAGCACCGGCUAACUACGUG